rnacentral:lncRNA from 10 species
ACAAGGGGCAUGGGAGUAUACAUGUGGAACACUUGGGCAUCAUCUUGAUGCUUCCUUGCCCAAUUUUAAUUGAGAGUGGGCACAUGCAGCAGUCCUGGCCUGAAGAGGUGAUAGUUAUAAAGCACUCAAAUGCCUCUGUAAUUAAGGUUUUAAUUACACCUUCUGGAGAGCCUCUAAGACCAGCCAAGGUGAGGGCUGUGGAUAAGAGGAGUUUAGAAUGGAUAGUGAAGGAAAGAGAGAAAACCUGUUGCAGCUCCGUGACCAUAUGCAUCCCCUAAUAGGGACUGUAUUUCUUUCCACUAACCCCCAUCUUCUAAGUUUACCUUCAGGAAGAGAGGCCCACAGGAAAUUGGGAGGAGUUGUUCCCUAAACACAUAUGGGAAAGUGGAUCUGUGCAGUGUAAGAGGUGGACAGUGACAGUCAUGAAGUUUUGCUACACGGAUGUCCCUUCAAGAAAACUUGCUGGCCAGGUGUGGCCAGCAAGGCAUGAGGCCAGCUCAUGUCUGUAAUCUCAGCACUUUGAGAGGCCAAGGUGGGAGGAUCGCUUGAGCCCAGGAAUUGAAGACCAGCCUGGACAACAUAGCAAGACCCUGUCUCUAAAAAUAAAAUUUAAAAAUUAGCCAAGUAUAGUAGUGCCAGCUACGCAGGAGGCUGAGGUGGGAGGAUCCCUUGAGCCCAGAAGAUCAAGGCUGUAGUGAGCUGUGAUUGCACCACUGUGCUCCAGCCUGAGUGACCUAGCAAGACCCCAUCCCAACAAAAAAAAAAAGGAAAAAGAAAACUUGCCUUGGGGACCACAGUUAACUCACACAUCUUUGGGUCCACAGCAGUUUCUAGUCAUAACCGUUCGGGUGUGACUUUGGGAGGAGUGGCUCAGGUGGAAUGAAGAAAAUGACCAUUCAGCCUUUUUUUCCCCCAUUUGGCACUCUACCGACAUCAAGCAAUGCUAUGAGAAUCCAGUUCUUCUGUUAUUUUCCGAAGAUUUAGACAACUAUUUCCACCUUGAGACAUCUGUAGAGACUAAAUAAAAAGCAGAGUAACUGAGACAGAAAUAUGUGGUAUUUCAUCCAGCCAAGUUGCAAUUGUAAUGUUCAUCAUCUUUCCACUGAGGAAGGCUGGUGAAAAAUAACAAACCCAAGCCAAAAAGGAAGCCAUCAAGAGGCCACUAGAAAAACAAAUGGACCAUGAAAGCCUAAGGAACAGUAAUCUCAUAAUGAUGAUACAGAUUAUGGUGCAUAAAGAUAGAUAUGUCAUUCGUUUCUUUGUUUAUUCAUUCAUUCAGCUUAAUAGUUAAGAGCACAGACAGUGGAGCCAGACUGCCUUGUUUUAAUCCUAAUUUUGCUAUUUAUUACUAGUGUGUGACCUUGUUCAAAUUACUCAGCCUCUCUGGGCCUCAGUU